rnacentral:rRNA from 1 species
UACGUAGGGUGCGAGCGUUAAUCGGAAUUACUGGGCGUAAAGCGUGCGCAGGCGGUUUUGUAAGCCAGGUGUGAAAUCCCCGGGCUUAACCUGGGAACUGCGCUUGUGACUGCAAGACUCGAGUACGGCAGAGGGGGGUAGAAUUCCACGUGUAGCAGUGAAAUGCGUAGAGAUGUGGAGGAAUACCGAUGGCGAAGGCAGCCCCCUGGGUCGAUACUGACGCUCAUGCACGAAAGCGUGGGGAGCAAACAGG